ACAGCAGUCGCCACGGGAAUACGAGGGGGGCAAGCGUUGUUCGGAAUUAUUGGGCGUAAAGGGUGCGUAGGCGGCUUGACAAGUCUUGUGUGAAAUCUAUGGGCUCAACCCAUAGUCUGCACGGGAAACUGUCGGGCUUGAGAAUGGGAGAGGUGAGUGGAAUUUCCGGUGUGGCGGUGAAAUGCGUAGAUAUCGGAAGGAACACCUGUGGUGAAAGCGGCUCACUGGACCAUUUCUGACGCUGAUGCACGAAAGCUAGGGGAGCAAACAGGAUUAGAUACCCCAGUAGUCCCUGUCUCUUAUAC
rnacentral:rRNA from 1 species